CAUGCGGCCGGUUGCGUGCCGGACCCGGGUGGUGGGUUCGGGGCAUGACAGAGUGGUAUCAGAGCUUAAGGUUAAGGUAUCCUAGGGUUUAUGUUCAGGUAAGUAUCAGUGGAGAAUUAUGAUAGAAAAACUAUCAGAGAUUUGGUUUAUAAUCACUUGAGAUUGUAACAAGAAUGAUAUUAUAAUCUAAGGUUUAAGACCACUAGGGACUGUGGCCUUAGUGGCAUUAAAGUUUGAGGUUUAAGAUUAUUGGAAAAUGUGACCAGUUGGAAUCUAAGCAUAUGUUUAAGAUCACUAGGGAUCGUGACAGAAAUAUAUCAUAGCUUAAGGUUAUGAUCACUUUGGACAUGACAAUUAAAUUCAGUGCUUAAGCUGUAAGAUCACUGGGCAUUGUGAUAAAAUGUAUGCAUCGGUUUGGUUUUCGAUGCAUACGGAAGGAAAGUAUAAAUUGUCUCUGAUCAUGAUAAGAGAGGUUUGACCUAAGAUAAGUGUAGGUCAACAAUGGCAUAUCGAGUAUACCAUGUUCAGAUAUUAUUUAAAUGAUUUGAAAGCUCAAAUUUGAUGUGGGUUUUGAUGUGAUCAUACUUUUGGUUUUGCUGCUAAUUAUUAGAGUGGGAUUUGUACGUUGAUUUAGUAUUGGAGUAAGCUAAGGAGAUUUCAUAAUAUUGAAAGAAACGUUCUUCGAAGUUGAAAAUGUAUGUGGAUUAUAUCUGGUGUUGGCAUGUUGGAUAUUGCAAAUAGGUCUAUUUUCUAUGGAUGUAUUUGAUUAUUUUGAGGCCAUAGAGUAUGCAUAUUGAUGGGAGAAUUCUAAUUAUUUGAAUUCUCAUGUUUGGAUUGGGUUACUGGAUUUUACUUAUAAUUGUAGAAGACUAUUUGAUGUGUUAAUUUAAAACUCAAGCCUAGGUUUAAGAUUUGAGCAGGGAUCUUUUGUCAUUGUUGAUGAAGCCACUAAUAAAUGUCAUAUUGAGUAGAGACUUCGGUCAUGAGAUGCUUACAUGAAUUAUAAUAUAUAGCAUUGUUGAUGGAUGUUAAGAAUCUUGGUGAAGGAAGAUCAGGAGAUCGAUCGAGUUAAAUUCUAAUCAUAGUGUAUUGGCUCAAUGACUUCUAACCCAUUGAAUUUGAAGUAAAUUCUGUUGGAAGGAAAAUCAAUGUAGAUCUUCUAAUUAAAUUGCUAAGGGAAUACAAGAAUUACCUCCCUUUAAAUUAAACUUAGAUAUUUUGGAUUCUAAAAAGGUUAUGGAGAUCACGUAGUGACCUUAAACUUGACUAAAGGAUUGGGGGUUAGUUAUGGUAAGUACACUCUAUAUAAAUCGAGGACAAAAAGAUCUAGAGGUUUUGCUCUAGUUCUACUUGAAAAUUUAAAAUUUGGAUUUUCUUAGUCACGGUGCAAAGUGAUGCUUUGGUUAGAAAUCAUUUUGUGACUUUAAAGAAUUUAAUGAGUUAGAUCAGAGUGCGCAGCAGAAGUGUAGUGGCUUGAGUUAUUUUGAAACCGAUUAAGGAAAAAAAAAUAAUAAUAAUAAUACCUUGAUCUGAAAGGUAUUAUGAUAGAAGACUUGAGUUAGUUUUCUAGUAGAGGGGAAUGUCGUUGAUUCUUUGCCUACUGGAAGUAGUUAUGGGCUCUCCUAUUUUUAAUAAUUCUAAGAAGAAUUUUGGGGCAUCUCAAAUUUAGCGUUAACAGAUUGAUAGCUCAGUGAUUAAGCUUGGUCUUGGAAUGAUUUAACAUAGUUCUUCGACUCCUAGCUCUGACAUUGUUAAUAUACCUAUUUGAACAGGUUUGCGAUUUUCCUAGGAUAAAGGUUGAUCAUUUAAUCACAGGCAAAGUUAAGAAAAGAAAAAUGAUUAUAGAAUAUUAAGAGCAUUUGAUACUAAAGAUUUCUCCUAUUUCUAUUAAGCCAAUUAUGAUCUCUAUGUAGAAUCAAGAGAAAUUAAUUUCUUUGGGAUAUAAUUAUGGCAUUUUAAUCCAAGGUUGGGAGUUUGGAAUUCUUUUGAAGGAGAUCAAAAGAACUUACUACGUGUGGUAAAUAGAAAGGAUCAAGUUUUGAGAUGCUAUGAUUUUUGUAUGUCAAAAUCUUGUGAGUAGGUACUCCGAGAGGGAGACUAUUUGAGAUCUC
rnacentral:lncRNA from 1 species